rnacentral:rRNA from 1 species
GAUGAACGCUGGCGGCGUGCCUAAUACAUGCAAGUCGAGCGAAUGGAUUAAGAGCUUGCUCUUAUGAAGUUAGCGGCGGACGGGUGAGUAACACGUGGGUAACCUGCCCAUAAGACUGGGAUAACUCCGGGAAACCGGGGCUAAUACCGGAUAACAUUUUGAACCGCAUGUCUCGAAAUUGAAAGGCGGCUUCGGCUGUCACUUCUGGAUGGACCCGAGGCGCAUUAGCUAGUUGGUGAGGUAACGGCUCACCAAGGCAACGAUGCGUAGCCGACCUGGGAGGGUGAUCGGCCACACUGGGACUGAGUCACGGCCCAGACUCCUACGGGAGGCAGCAGUAGGGAAUCUUCCGCAAUGGACGAAAGUCUGACGGAGCAACGCCGCGUGAGUGAUGAAGGCUUUCGGGUCGUAAAACUCUGUUGUUAGGGAAGAACAAGUGCUAGUUGAAUAAGCUGACACCUUGACGGUACCUAACCAGAAAGCCACGGCUAACUACGUGCCAGCCGCCGCAGUAA